CGAUGGGCCUCCGGGGCGUUUGGGGCCUUGGGGGUGGGGGCACGCGAGUGGGACCCAGCUCUCGCCCCGCCUCUUUCCUCUUCCGUCCAGUUGUCAUCUUCCUUGGCCCUAACCCUAAGGUAGCGGCGGUGUUCUCGGCGCUAGGUUUGCCGCCGCAGUUUUCUCCUGGAGGGAGAGCUGCGCCGCCGUGGUCUCCGUCCUCCGGCCCGUCUGCUCGGUUGGUGGAGGGGUUCGGGGCUGGUUGCUGGACUCCGUCAGGCUGCUCACCUUUCUGCGCUCCGUAAAGAUUUCUUUGGGAGAGAGGGCCUGGUGGAUGUGUGCUAUUUUGCGGAUGUAGGCUGAAGUUGAGAUAUCCUUAUCGAUCAUGUCAUCUUUCUUAUUCUUACCCCUCGGUUUCUAAGCUUCGUGGUUCCAAUGCGUGUGUGUUGCAGGUGGGAGUUGUAUCUGCCACUGUUGGGGUGGAACAGAUUGACUUUAUUUUCUGGAUUUCGUGAUCGGGGUCACCCGAUCUGCUGCAUAAGAAUUUAUGGUCCAUUCUCUUCUCUUAGCUGUUUCUCCUUCAGAGUCUAUGCAGGGAAUGUUGAGUGAAUUCAUCGUGCCUGAAGGUAAAGACCAGAGCUUACUGAUAUAUACAAUUCCAAUGGGCAUGUAUUAACAGUCUACUUGGAGUCAUCUUUUCAAUGGGACUGCUCUAUACUACAUUAAGGAGCAGAAGUGCAAGGUCAUCGCUCUAUGGAACUGGUUUGUCAUAUUUCCCUGUAUACAUUUUGAUUACCCAAUCGUCUCCACGUACAAACUAUUAAUGCUCCAGGUAAAACCUUCGGAGUGGCAAAGGAGCUAAUUGCUGACAGGUGUUCCACUGUGGUUAUACAGUAUACUGCAUUGUCAUAUUCAUUGCCCAGCAAGAUACUUCAGGUGUUCAUAGCAAGCCUAUCCAAACUAUGAAUUAAUAUAGUGAUAUUCACACUUCUCAAUCAGUAUAUCAAAAGCCAUGAGCAAGAAUGCUUUGUAUCGGCUGUGCAUCACAAGGAAAGAAAAAAUAUACCUUAUAAAUGCUUCAGGUUCGCAUACCCACAAAAUCAGAUGCCAUGAAUCUUUUGAUAUAUCUGAACUCUAGAGUAUAAGAUACAUCUUCCUACUCUUCUAGCGAUCUAGAACCGGUUACCUCAUGACUAUUUAUUUGAGAUAUGCUAAAGUUACUUUAAUAGUAGAUGCAACUUGCAGCUAUUGUGCACGGUCGUUAGUCUGUGGGAAGUUUUAUCUCUUUCGUACAGUCAAAGCUAUGUGCAAUUCAUUCUUAUUAAAUUGGAAUCCAUCCUUGGUCAUUCUAUCUUCCUUUUCAUCAAUGGUUUAUGCUAAUGACAAUUUUAAAUUUAUUGGCGUAGAAGCAGAGCUUCAGGUCUGUAUGUUGUUUAUCGUCCAGUAUGUCAUUACAAGUAGCUUAUGGUUCAGUAUAUCACUGCAAGUAGUUUAUGGUUCAAAAGGAUUGUCGUCGAUGCUAAUGAGGAGACACAAGUUUAUGUGAAAUUUGUGUCUGAGACAUUUCUGUGAUGUCACUCUUUCACCUUGGAGAUCUGAUGCAUCACCCUCACUUAUGUCUUAUUUGCGUUCUCUUGGUACUUCUCUUUUAAAAAAUAUUUGGUUUUGGGUUUAAAUGGCCUAGAGAUGAGCUGAUGAUUGAGAUUAUUUCCCUAUUGGUUUGAUUGUCUGAUCGUUCUCUUGUUUCCACACACAAAAAAGAGUUGUGUUUCUUAUUACCUUGUCUUAUCAUUGUUUUCAUAGUUGUCCUUGUUGCGUAAUUUCAUUUAUUCAAUAGAUGAUUAUUAUAUUGCCAACUUGGUGGAAUACGCACGAUAUUUUUAUAAAUAUGAUCUUGCAAUGCAUUUAUUUUUCUCCAAUUGCUCCUGCAGUUAUUUUACUUAUACUAGCUUAGAUAAGAUCGCCAACAGUCUGGGCAGUCAAACCACUGGCUCUGGAAAAAAUGGCUUGCAGAAUGGGGAUGACAGGGCUGAAGACAGGCCUUUCUUCAAAAGGAGAGAAGGACACCUCUGAGGGCUCCUCUGCUACGUGUAUAAGCAAAAAAAGCUAAAAUGGAAGUUCACCAAGCUGGCCUUUCUCAAGCUACCACUUCCACUUGAUGUCUACAAGGAGGUAAAGCUAUCUUUCGUUAUUUUCAGCAUCCGGUAAGUAAUAAUUUCUCAAUUGCUUCUUCUUGAACUGUCUAUGAAUGGUUAUAUGCGUUGCACCUUAAUUUAGAAAUUGCUGUUGGUGAUUUCCUGACUCCUUUUUUUCUUAUAAAACUAUGAUCAUGUUUACAUGCACUGUCUACUAUGCAAGGGGACUUCGGUCCAUUGAUAAAUGGAUUGCAGGCUGGCCAAGCUAGUCACCUUUUCCUUUUUUUCCUUCUGUUCUUCUAUUCUCUACCUCUCUAUUUGUUUCCUCCCCUCCCUCCCUUCGCUCCUGUUUUGUACCCUGGUUUUGUAAGAACUAUUGCCCCAGUAAGCAUUUUGCUUAUGGGUUCUUUAUAAAAAUCUGUUGGUAAGGGGUCUCCCCUCCCGAUUUCCUUAAAGAAACUAUGCAAGGGGAAUUUAUUAUACUACAAGAACUGUGUAGCCACUUAUGAUGAAAUAAUUUUUUGUUUACUGUUGUUAUUAAGAAGAAUUGGUUUUAUUUUCCAGUUAUUAUAAAAAAGCUUUAAUUACCGAUGUUAGUUGCGUAUCUCGAGUGACAGUUUGUAAUCUGCAGGUCCUUGCUACACUUCAUCAGAAUGUUAUUCCUCCAAUGUCAAACCCAGCCAUCUUGUGGUAGGUUGUUUAUGUCCAUUUUGUUCAAAUUUGUACUUUGUUUGACAUGGUAUCUCACGCCUUCAUAUUUUUUUUUCCUGUUGAAGUGAUUUCUUGACUACAUCAUACGCCAUUGGCAGUGUUAUCAGUGUGAUGGCCUUAAAGUGGUCUAUUCAUCCUUAUGACACAACAUUAGCUUUAAUAUCCAAAACUCUAUAGCUCUAUGCAUUACUGACCUGUGCUGUGUAUAUGGCAAAGCAUCGGUCAUUGUUCUUGCAUGUAAGUAGCUCUCAAUAAAUAUAAGUGUUGUUCCAUAAGCUAAUUCCAGUGCUUUGGAUUCUCUUUCAGGAAGUUGCUCAGGAUGAUGAAGCUUGUUGACCUAAGAAGAUUGGCACUGACCCUUUUUUUUUGCAGGCUAAUAGAGAGCUUUAUUAAUUAAAGGUAUUCGCUGGGCAGUCCGCCGACAGGGCACUGACCAGGAAUCCGGGAGUGUUAUCGAGCCAACUAUCGGUCCUCUCAAUCGUGCAAGCAUGUUUAGCACAGAUGUGAGCAGGCCCAUUAGCUGAUCUUACAACGAAGAGACAGACCCUGCAAAGUCUGGCCAGUAUCCAGCUCAGUUUUAUCAGCUAACCAAGUGCUAUUGUUGGUGUUUAAAAGAAAGAUAAACCCCUAACCUGGCCACAGCUUUUUGUUUCAAAGGAGAAAGUGUUAUUCCCCCUUGGCCUUCGGAGUAGUACUAACCGGAUAUAGGACAUUGACUAGUCAUGUGGAUAGCCGAAUCCAGAAUGACUUGCGGGUAGCACCAGGCCUGAGUAGGCUACCUGAGUCAGUUGCCACCUGAGUCAGUUGCCAGAGUCCGGUGACUUCACAGCAGCCUCAACUCUAGUUUCUUCUUGUCGCCCCAAAGCUUUGAACAUGAGCCCUACCUGGCCGCAACCUUUUGUUUUAAAGGAGAAAGCGUUGCUCCCGAUUGGCCUACGGAGUAGAGAUUAACCUGAUAUAGGAGACAUUGACUAGUCCUGUGUAGCCGACACCAGUAUGACUUGCGGGUGCCAUGGCCAAGUCAGCUACCUGAGUCCGGUGACUCUACAAUAGCCAGACAUAACAUAAUCAAAACUUUAAAUCAUGAUCUUAACUCAAGUUUCUUUUCGUUCAUCCCAAAGCAUACAUUUUAAGAUAACUGACUCGAUGACAGAUGGAGGAUUUGAACAUGAUGAGGACACCUGGAGCAAAAAUAUCACCUAGGGCUUUCUGAAAAGAGGAUUUUUUUUUAUGACUAUAUAGUCUGGGUGUUGUUUUGUGCUAAUAUUGGUUAAGUUAGUAUUCUUUGUUGAGUUCAGAUAAUUCAACCUAUAUUUUUACUUUACGGCUUUCACCUUAGGUCUGUACUUGGUUAUCUGUAGAAAGAAUAUUGCAUGCUGUCCUGGUUGUCAUAAUGUUUUGGUAUCUUUGAUAUAGAAAUAGAACUAGGGAGGAACUGAUAACCUAGCUGUAACAGGUGGGUACUUGAAUGAAUUUGACAACCAGCUAUACUGCUGUUUGGUUGCUACAGCAACUGGUCUGGACUGAACUAGAUGGAAGUUUGCCUGAUGAGCGAUGAUGGUGAGAUAAUGACAGUGGUUUCACUUGCCCAUUCUUUCCUAUUACAGCUUGAAGCAACUUGUAACUAGUUACUGGGCUUUUGUAACUAGUUACUGGGGGCCAUUGCAAUUCAACAUGCAAGCUGCUAUUUGUCUAUUUCUCGUGGACAGUUUAUUGCCUAUCAUGUUUAUAUAUGGAUUUGGUGGCUUUCAUUGGUUGAUUGACAUGACGGAUCCAUAACAAUAGUAAGAGAGUUGGGUUGUACGUGUAAAUUAGUCAUUUGACACGAGUUUCUGCCAAAUGAGGCUUAAACCUGAACAGUAGUCGCUGUAGAAAGUACAAGAAAGCACUGGUGGCUUUGUGUUUUUCCGUUCUGACGACGUGUGAACCUUUGAGCCGGCCCAUUUCAGGGCCUUAUUUAUAUACCUGAAAUUACUUAAAGUGAAAAUUGCUGAGGGUUAUAUCAUCUUUUUGCAUAUUCAUAUGGGGGUUCUCCUGCUUGAUUACCAAGAGGUUGAUCCAAGUUAACGCCUAUGUUCUACUCCCUCUGUUCCUAAAUAUAAGUCUUUUCAGAGAUUUCAAUAAGGGACUACAUACGGAGCAAAAUGAGUGAAUCUACACUAUAAAAUAUGUCCAUGUACAUUUGUAUGUAGUUUGUAUUAAAAUCUGUAGAAAGACUUGUAUUUUGAAAUGGAAGGUUUACAUAACAGGAUUUUCUACAGUGUUGGUAUAAUCAAAGUGAAAAUCUAUAUGUGAUAUUUUUUCUUUGUGCUAAGACUCCAUGUCACCAAAGUUACUUUGAUACUGACUGGUGCUAUGUUAUAAAAUUAUGUUUCAGCCA